rnacentral:rRNA from 1 species
AACGAACGCUGGCGGCAUGCCUAACACAUGCAAGUCGAACGAAGCCUUCGGGCUUAGUGGCGCACGGGUGCGUAACGCGUGGGAAUCUGCCCUUUGGUUCGGAAUAACAGUUGGAAACGACUGCUAAUACCGGAUGAUGACGAACGUCCAAAGAUUUAUCGCCAGAGGAUGAGCCCGCGUAGGAUUAGCUAGUUGGUGUGGUAAAGGCGCAUCAAGGCGACGAUCCUUAGCUGGUCUGAGAGGAUGAUCAGCCACACUGGGACUGAGACACGGCCCAGACUCCUACGGGAGGCAGCAGUGGGGAAUAUUGGACAAUGGGCGAAAGCCUGAUCCAGCAAUGCCGCGAGUGAUGAAGGCCCUAGGGUUGUAAAGCUCUUUUACCCGGGAUGAUAAUGACAGUACCGGGAGAAUAAGCCCCGGCUAACUCCGUGCCAGCCGCCGCGGUAA